GAUGAACGCUAGCGGCAGGCCUAACACAUGCAAGUCGAGGGGUAACUUGAUUGAUAGCAAUAUUAAUUAAGCUAGACCGGCGCACGGGUGCGUAACACGUAUGCAAUCUACCUUAUACAGGGGCAUAACUUCGAGAAAUCGAUGCUAAUUCCCCAUAACACUGUGAAGUGGCAUCACUUUAUAGUUAAAGCUCAGGCGGUAUAAGAUGAGCAUGCGUCCAAUUAGCUAGUAGGCGAGGUAACGGCUCACCUAGGCUACGAUUGGUAGGGGUUCUGAGAGGAUGAUCCCCCACACUGGUACUGAGACACGGACCAGACUCCUACGGGAGGCAGCAGUGAGGAAUAUUGCGCAAUGGACGAAAGUCUGACGCAGCCAUGCCGCGUGAAGGAUUGAAGGCCCUAUGGGUUGUAAACUUCUUUUGUACGGGAAUAAACGCUCCCUCGUGAGGGAGCCUGAAGGUACCGUAAGAAUAAGCACCGGCUAACUCCGUGCCAGCAGCCGCGGUAAAAC
rnacentral:rRNA from 1 species